rnacentral:rRNA from 1 species
GACGAACGCUGGCGGCGUGCUUAACACAUGCAAGUCGAACGGAAAGGCCCUGCUUUUGUGGGGUGCUCGAGUGGCGAACGGGUGAGUAACACGUGAGUAACCUGCCCUUGACUUUGGGAUAACUUCAGGAAACUGGGGCUAAUACCGGAUAGGAGCUCCUGCUGCAUGGUGGGGGUUGGAAAGUUUCGGCGGUUGGGGAUGGACUCGCGGCUUAUCAGCUUGUUGGUGGGGUAGUGGCUUACCAAGGCUUUGACGGGUAGCCGGCCUGAGAGGGUGACCGGCCACAUUGGGACUGAGAUACGGCCCAGACUCCUACGGGAGGCAGCGGUGGGGAAUAUUGCACAAUGGGCGGAAGCCUGAUGCAGCAACGCCGCGUGCGGGAUGACGGCCUUCGGGUUGUAAACCGCUUUCGCCUGUGACGAAGCGUGAGUGACGGUAAUGGGUAAAGAAGCACCGGCUAACUACGUGCCAGCAGCCGCGGUGAUACGUAGGGUGCGAGCGUUGUCCGGAUUUAUUGGGCGUAAAGGGCUCGUAGGUGGUUGAUCGCGUCGGAAGUGUAAUCUUGGGGCUUAACCCUGAGCGUGCUUUCGAUACGGGUUGACUUGAGGAAGGUAGGGGAGAAUGGAAUUCCUGGUGGAGCGGUGGAAUGCGCAGAUAUCAGGAGGAACACCAGUGGCGAAGGCGGUUCUCUGGGCCUUUCCUGACGCUGAGGAGCGAAAGCGUGGGGAGCGAACAGGCUUAGAUACCCUGGUAGUCCACGCUGUAAACGGUGGGUACUAGGUGUGGGGUCCAUUCCACGGGUUCCGUGCCGUAGCUAACGCUUUAAGUACCCCGCCUGGGGAGUACGGCCGCAAGGCUAAAACUCAAAGGAAUUGACGGGGCCCCGCACAAGCGGCGGAGCAUGCGGAUUAAUUCGAUGCAACGCGUAGAACCUUACCUGGGUUUGACGUGGAUCGGGAGUGCUCAGAGAUGGGUGUGCCUCUUUUGGGGUCGGUUCACAGGUGGUGCAUGGCUGUCGUCAGCUCGUGUCGUGAGAUGUUGGGUUAAGUCCCGCAACGAGCGCAACCCUUGUUCACUGUUGCCAGCACGUUAUGGUGGGGACUCAGUGGAGACCGCCGGGGUCAACUCGGAGGAAGGUGGGGAUGACGUCAAGUCAUCAUGCCCCUUAUGUCCAGGGCUUCACGCAUGCUACAAUGGCUGGUACAGAGAGUGGCGAGCCUGUGAGGGUGAGCGAAUCUCGGAAAGCCGGUCUCAGUUCGGAUUGGGGUCUGCAACUCGACCUCAUGAAGUCGGAGUCGCUAGUAAUCGCAGAUCAGCAACGCUGCGGUGAAUACGUUCCCGGG